UUUAUUUUCUGCGCCCUUUGGCAAUCAUUAUUCUACCUGACCGUUUGAUAUCUUCCCCCUGCCCCCUUUUUUUUUGUUUUUGGUUUAGGCGUUUCUUGCAUUUUUUUUUAUUUUUUUUUUUGCAGGAUCGACCUCGAUUCCUCUUAUCCGCUCACAAUAAGCCUCGGCAGCUUAACGGACAGCACUCCAUAAGUGCGCUAAUUCGAACUCAACAGUAUGAGUUAUCUCUACCUGUCAAACAACUGGAUCAAGUCCACCGGAUGCCCCUCUUCUGCUUGGGACUUUGUCAUCAUGUCAUCAAUAUGGUAUUUGCU
rnacentral:lncRNA from 1 species